rnacentral:lncRNA from 1 species
AAAAGAUCUUUACCAAUCCUACAACAGAUAGAGGCCUUAUAUCCAAAAUAUACAAAGAACUCAAGAAGUUAGACCGCAGGGAGACAAAUAACCCUAUUAAAAAAUGGGGUUCAGAGCUAAACAAAGAAUUCACAGCUGAGGAAUGCCGAAUGGCUGAGAAACACCUAAAGAAAUGUUCAACAUCUUUAGUCAUAAGGGAAAUGCAAAUCAAAACAACCCUGAGAUUUCACCUCACACCAGUGAGAAUGGCUAAGAUCAAAAACUCAGGUGACAGCAGAUGCUGGCGAGGAUGUGGAGAAAGAGGAACACUCCUCCAUUGUUGGUGGGAUUGCAGACUGGUAAAACCAUUCUGGAAAUCAGUCUGGAGGUUCCUCAGAAAAUUGGACAUUGAACUGCCUGAGGAUCCAGCUAUACCUCUCUUGGGCAUAUACCCAAAAGAUGCCUCAACAUAUAAAAGAGACACGUGCUCCACUAUGUUCAUCGCAGCCUUAUUUAUAAUAGCCAGAAACUGGAAAGAACCCAGAUGCCCUUCAACAGAGGAAUGGAUACAGAAAAUGUGGUACAUCUACACAAUGGAAUAUUACUCAGCUAUCAAAAACAACGAGUU